rnacentral:tRNA from 1 species
GGCUCCAUAGUGUAGUGGUUAGCACGUCUGCUUUACAUGUAGAAGUUCCUGGAUUCGCACCCCAGUGGAACCA